rnacentral:lncRNA from 1 species
UCUCUCCACAGGGAGAUGUCAGAAUCAGAGGUUCCUGCACUUAUUCUUUUAUUUUUCAAUGCCCCUUGGCAAUCAAUAUUUCACCUGACCGUUUGAUCUUUCUUUUCAACAUCCUGAAUAUGGGUUCACACGUGGCUGUUAAAUGAGAUGUGAACCAUGACAGGUAGUUCAAUCUUUCUAAGAAACCACGAACCUCUCUUUUUCUUUCUCGGUUCAGGCGUUUCUCUUAUUGUUCUUUUUUUUUUAUUUUU